UGAGAGGGUUUCGUCCGCAGAGACAAAGCCCUGGCUUCAGUUUGUUUCCAACCAGCUGGUUGGGGGGCAGCCAUGGAAGAACAGUGUUCUGUUCCACAGGCGCUCGCAGCUGCUCUCCAUAGUCGCUGGCUGUUUCUUUUACCAAUUGGCCAACUGGGUUGUUCGCGCUUUCGUCUCCCGCGACCCUCUCUUUGUCAACACCUCUGUUUCUCUACUCCACUCCACCAUAACCUCCUCUUCAGUCGUUAGCUGAAUCUGAGAAACAACAUUGGCUCCAAAGAGAGGCUACCUUAGAAGAAACAAUCAAACAAUUACAAAAGGAGACGGACUUGCACAUACAGAAAGAGGCUACCUUAGAGGAUGCUAUUAAGCAGUUACGAAAUGAAAAUGAUUCACAUAUACAGAAAGAGGUACUAUAUCUUGAUCUGAAUUUAUGAAGUUGUACUUAGAAAGAGCCAAUGACCUUUUUUCUUAUCUGGUAUGCUUUUUCUACCUUUCCUAUUGAUUUUGUAUAUUUCUUCUUCAGGCUAUCAUAGAAGAUUUCAUAAAACAAUGUAAAUUAGGUGGGAGUUUGAUUUGAUUAGCUGAAAACAGAUGUGCUCUUUAGACUUUAGAGUUGUGCAGGAAAGCUACUGGUUGCUAAUUUUGUUUAGUCUUUUUUCUCAAGUUAUAAUAAAUAUCUUAACCAGUUUUUGGGUGUUUACUGAAGUUCAUGAUUGGUAAUUGAUAUUAAGUUUUGUUCAUAUCAGUUUAUGCUUUGUGUGUGUGUGUGUGUGUUGAGGAAAAGUUGGAAGCAUGAAAGCUACAUACAACAUGUGAUUUGCAAAUUAUUCUUAUUCAUUUUCUCAAUUAGUCUCAUGCAAUAAAAGGUAAAGUCAAAUUGUUGUUGAAUCCCUGUUUUGAUUGGUCAUUGCAGAACAGUUUGUGGGUAUGGAAGUACUCUCAUACAGUUCUGCACCAUGCUAUGAUACUUUUAAUUUAAGGUGGAAAUUGAUUGUGAAAAGCUCAAGUUCACAUCAAUUCAGUCUCCUAGGUUUUAGAAAAAACAGAGUUUUUGGUGCUAAAUUUGAUGUUAGAAAGAAGUUUUUGAGCUGUUACAAUUUAGAUCAGCCUUUCUUGAAGCAACUAAAUCACCAAGGAGGUUUUAGGUCAUUAGACACCGGUGAAAACUUCAAACAUGUUGGUCCAAUUUUAUCAAGUGGAAGCUCUGAUGGCUACGUAAUUAAAAGGGAAGAGAAUGAAAGUAUUUCAGAAAUAGGGGAACCAGUAACUAAAGUUUUGAUUCCUGGUCUACCAGAUGAAUCCAAAGGUGAAUCAGGUGCGCCAGUAAAUAGUUGCUUUUGGGAAUGGAAGCCCGAAUUCAGUGUGCAUUAUGAGAAAGCUGGAUGUGAAACCUUAGGCUCCCUUCCAGUGCUGUUUCUGCCUGGUUUUGGGGUUGGUUCCUUUCACUAUGAGAAGCAACUGAAGGAGUUGGGGCUUGAUUUUAGAGUACGGGCUAAGCAGCUGAAUGGAUGGUGUGUAUAUCUAUAUUUGGAUGGUAUGUACUUGGAUUCAUUGAAACAAUUGAGAUUGAGUGCUUAUAUCUUAGCAGCUGACUUUGAGCCUUAAAAUUUUCAGAUAUUUAUGAUGACCCAUUCUUGGGCCCAUUGCAAUAAUUGAGAUUUGAGUGCUUAGGUCUAAGCAGCUGAAUUUGAGUCAUUAAUUUUUCAGAUGUGUAUGAUUUUGAUUGUUCCGUCAGGUUUCUUUAUUAGUUAUUUUCCCCUAAUCACAAUUGUUUCACUUCCAGAAACUAAUGGCAUCAUUCGUUCAUUUUGCAAGAUUGGUGUAUACUAUGGUACUCCACAAGCGACAUUUGGAGGAAUUGCAUUAAAAUUCUUUGCCUCAGUUCGGCUUGAAAUAUGUUCUACAGGGAAGAUAAAGUCUGUAAAUGGAGAGGAAGUAAUUGGAGUUCGGGUUCAUGUAAGAGUGCAAAAGAGCAAGAUGUUAACUGUGUACAAGAGAGUCAAGAAGAGGCGGUGAGUAGAAGGAGGUUCUUUGCAGGCUAGACAAGGUUGAAAAUGGUUUUUUUUUUUCUCUCCCUAUUUUCCUUCAAAACUUUUUGUUCACUUAUUCUCCUUGAAUUUUAUGUUCAAAGUAGUUAAAUUUUCGUCCAAAAUGUUUUAUUUGUGUUUCUUGAUUUGAAUGAAAGUUUGGUAUUUCAUCCUU